UCGGGGCGCGUGGAGCCGCUCCGGAAGGGAGGGGCACUGGCCCUGGUCAGUCUCGGCCGCGGCUCGGGAGAACGCGGAGGGGCUGCCCGGUCCUGAACUCGGAGUCCCGGGCUCCCGUCCCGCUGACCCUUCUUCUUUGCCGGGGGUAGGGGGUACCCUCACUCAGCCUGGCUCAGUCCUUGCGCCCCUGACGGCGCGGCGGCUCCCCCCAAGCUUUUUCCGAGCACUUCCUGUGCGCCCAGCACCGCUCUCGGCGCCGCAGGGGGAGACAAAGGGGCGCUUAUAGAACUUUAGCGUCCGAGACUAGGCAUACUUUUUAGGGGAGUCCACCCAGAUGCUGUGAGGGUGCCGAGGCGAUGGGCACAGAGCAACUGGGCUGCGUCUGGAAGGGUUGGGUCCGAUGAUAUUAGGGACACACUUGAAGAUGAGCCAGAGACAGAGACCGGGGGUGGGGGUAGGGGGUUUCGGAGUGAGAGGUUAGGCUUGGAGAUGGAGGCUGGGGCCGGCAGAGCGGGAGGUUAGGGCCUCUGGAAUCCUGCGCUUCGGGGGUCAGAUUUGAGCAUGUGGAUGAGUCACUGCUGGGGAGUCUCCCAGUCUGUAGUCACCUUUCCCCUAGACGAAUAGGAGGCCAGAGAGCUUUUGUGGAGGGGUGGGUGGGGCAGAGCUGAUUAAUUCUAGACACGUUUGCUGUAGGCAUUGUCUGGUUCUUAGUCCUGAGAAGAAACUGUGUUGCUGGGGGCCCAAAAAACACUUAGGGCUUGACGCCACCCUUCGCCUAUCUCCUUCCUCCCAGGAAACCCUUUACUCAGAAAAACCCACAUGUUCUCGAGGAGGACACCCCCUUCAUGAGACACUGUCACCUUCCAUGGGAUUCUUUAGCUUGUGGACCACUCUGAUCCCAGGACUUCCCUUUUAGUAGCUUGGACCACAGAUAGGGCUUCUCUCAGUCCUCCUGGUCAAGACUUGCUCUUUUUGACCUACAAGUGGUGGGUGGAACCCCCACUGGAGCAAAGGUUCUGUGGCUGGAGAGGCCGUGACACCCACACCCGUGGCUCUCAGCUGUUGGACUUGCUGCGCUUCUCUGCCUGAGGGCUCUGCGUGUAGGCGAGGGCAGCCAGCACAUUCUACACUGGCACAUCUUCUUUACCCUUCCCAAAGCUCCCUAUUCCCUCUGCUGCUGCUAAGUCGCUUCAGUCGUGUCCAACUCUGUGCGACCCCAUAGAUGGAAGCCCUCCAGGCUCCCCUGUCCCUGGGAUUCUCCAGGCAAGAACACUGGAGUGGGUUGCCAUUUCCCUCUAAGGCACCAGGAAACUGUCCUCAGUCUUGCGCCCCCCACCUCCCCAGACCUCCCCUGGACACCCCACCCCCGGACACCCCACCCCUGGACACGCCACCAAAGCUCUGGCCUCCCCCAGACACAGCCUGCUCUCCAGGUGUGCUCUGACCCCUGUGAGGGCAGCUGCACCCUUGGGCAGCUCAUCAUGUCCCUCACUUGCUCCAAAAGGUUCAGCUGGUGUUUCCAGCGCUUGUUGUUGGCUCUCACAGAUGUUUGUUCUGUUCAGGGUUGGCUUUCAAUUAGUCUUGUCCCUGUCCCCUAAUGGAUCCUGGCUUCAUAUGGUUCAUUUUCUUUCAAAUCUAAAUGCAGAACUUUGCUUUUAGGCUGGUAAGAUUUCCCCUUGUCAGUUUCGAUUGUCAUUUCCUCCUGCUUUAGCUGGGUAAAACUCCCCUACUGCUCUGAAAGUUCCAGAGGAGCCCAUCUGAUUCACAAGUUAUUUUGUCUGCUGGUUCUCCAGAACACAUGGACCCUUUUAAAGGCGAGUGUAGUGCUCAAAGCUGUGAGCUGACCGUACCCCAGCUCCCUCCCCACCACCUCUGAACCCUUGGUUUUCUCCUCAUUAAGAGAAGGCAAAGCUAGACCAGGAGAGCUGUGUGAUGGCUGAUACACCUGGACAAUUUAUUAGAUUCCACGCCUGGCCUCAGUGUGUGACUUUUCAACCCAUCCCCAUGUUACGUGCAGGAAUCCUGGGUCCCAGGGAAAGGAAUGGACUAGAACCAAGGCUCUGGGCUUAGUUAGCAGCUUCGGAAGAUCUGUCUUAGAUCAGAGAUCUCUGUGACCCCUAUCUCCUUCCCUGGAGAAGUGCUGUUUACUCAGCCCCUUAGAGAUGAAGUUGAAGCAGUUAUUGCUUUAAUAAAGAUUUAAUAAAGAUUCUAUUCCCUA